AUAAAGAUAAAAACACAGUUCUGGUUGGUAGUCCAGACGCGGUAAAUCCGUCAGUAACCUGCCUCCUUGGUUGUCCGUUCUUUAUAUUUAA
rnacentral:ncRNA from 1 species